AAUUAAUACAAAUAAAAUUUAUCAUUAAAAAGUUAAAAAUGAUUAAAUAUAUAAUUUUCUCUAUAAUUUAUUAGGUUAAAUUUUAAAUUAUAAAAUUAUUAUUCAAUAAAUGGUUUUUAAGCUUGAAAAAAUUUAUUGAUAAACUAGGAUUAGAUACCCUAUUAUAGAAAUUGUAAAUAAUAAAAUAAUAGAGUAGUAUUAGUUAUAUUCUUAAAACUUAAUAAAUUUGGCGGUAUUUUAAUCUAUUCAGAGGAGCUUGUUUUAUAAUUGAUAAUCCUCAUUAAAUCUUACUUAAAUUAAAAAAUUUGUAUACCGUCGUCAUAAGAAUUUCUUUUAAAAGAAAAAAUUUUCUAAAUAAUUUAUUAGUUAAAAUGUCAGAUCAAGGUGCAGUUUAUAUUUAAGAAAAAAUGAGCUACAAUAAAUUUAUUUAAACGAAUAAAAAAUUGAAAUAUUUUUUUAAAGGUGGAUUUGAUAGUAAAAUUAAUAAAUAAGUUAAUUUGAUUUUAGUUCUAAAAUAUGCACAUAUCGCCCGUCGCUCUCGUUAUUUAAAAUGAG
rnacentral:rRNA from 1 species